UGCAGGGAGGCAAGAAGACACUCUGGACACCACUAUGGACAGCCUCUUGAUGAACCGGAAGAAGUUUCUUUACCAAUUCAAAAAUGUCCGCUGGGCUAAGGGUCGGCGUGAGACCUACCUGUGCUACGUAGUGAAGAGGCGGGACAGUGCUACAUCCUUUUCACUGGACUUUGGUUAUCUUCGCAAUAAGAACGGCUGCCACGUGGAAUUGCUCUUCCUCCGCUACAUCUCGGACUGGGACCUAGACCCUGGCCGCUGCUACCGCGUCACCUGGUUCACCUCCUGGAGCCCCUGCUACGACUGUGCCCGACAUGUGGCCGACUUUCUGCGAGGGAACCCCAACCUCAGUCUGAGGAUCUUCACCGCGCGCCUCUACUUCUGUGAGGACCGCAAGGCUGAGCCCGAGGGGCUGCGGCGGCUGCACCGCGCCGGGGUGCAAAUAGCCAUCAUGACCUUCAAAGGUGCGAAAGGGCCUUCCGCGCAGGCGCAGUGCAGCAGCCCGCAUUCGGGAUUGCGAUGCAGAAUGAAUGAGUUAGUGGGGAAGCGCGAGGGGAAGAAGUGGGCGGGGAUUCUGGGUCACCUCUGGAGCCGAAAUUAAAGAUUAGAAGCAGAGAAAAGAGUGAAUGCCCCGAGGAAAUGAGAAAAUGGGGCCAGGGUUGCUUUCUUUCCCCUCGAUUUGGAACCUGAACUGUCUUCUACCCCCAUAUCCCCGCCUUUUUUUCCUUUCUUUUUUUUGAAGAUUAUUUUUACUGCUGGAAUACUUUUGUAGAAAACCAUGAAAGGACUUUCAAAGCCUGGGAAGGGCUGCAUGAAAAUUCAGUUCGUCUCUCCAGACAGCUUCGGCGCAUCCUUUUGCCCCUGUAUGAGGUUGAUGACUUACGAGACGCAUUUCGUACUUUGGGACUUUGA
rnacentral:sRNA from 1 species